UUUAUUUUAAAAUAUCUAAUGCAAUAAUUAUUAAUCGUUAUUAAAAAUAUAUAUUAAAGACGGUUGGACUAAAGCAAAGGGGGCGUAUGAAAAAAGACAGAAAAUAUAUGACCAAAAGUGAAAAAUAUAUCGGAUUAAUAAGGCCGCCGUGUGUGAAAAGUGCCAAAAAUACUAAUAAUAAUACAAAAAGAUUCAAAGUCACAAAUAAUCUACCUACUUAAUAGCAGCUAAUGUUAGUGCUCCUUGCCGUUAAUCGCCCACUGCUGAGCAUCAUAGGCCUCCCUUCGUGUACGCCACUUAUCCCGGUCCUGAGCUAGUCUCAUCUAGAGGUGCCCCGCAGUUUUUCGAAUGUCGUCUACCCAACGAGCCAACGGAUGCCAAGCAGUUUUUUUACAUCGGAAGGCGACCACCAUUCUGUCAACAUUUUGUUCCACCUGCCAUCACUCUGCCUGACAACAUUUCCCGCCCUUUCAAUAUCGAAAUGACGUCACCCACGUCUCCCGCCGACCUGACGUCAGAACGGCGGGGAACAUUAAUUUCUUAAAUAUCUCUGGAGUUUAAAGAGCACAUUGCUUGAAUUUUGGCGCACAUUUGGCACAUUGUUAGCACUAACUCCUUAAGUAUACCGCACCAGGAUUACUUGAUGUACACCCGCUAUUUUGACGAUCACUUUGCAAUGUGAUCCAUUGAAAUCGUAUGUUUCAGGGGGUUGGUUUGCAUCAAAUGAGGUAGUUCUAAUUUUUUAUACAUAUUGUUAGCGAUGAAAUAGUGAUGUCAAAUCCGAGUUUUCCACCGAAAGCCGAUGAGGUCAUUAUUAAAUAUUUGAAAAACCAUGAAAUUUUAGGACUUUUUUUGGUUUACUGAAUAUUUUACAACCAAAAUUUUUUUAAGGGCUAAAGUCAUUAUGAACAAUUUCAAUAAUAAUAAAUUACCAACAAAAUAAUAUAAAAAAUAUCACUGAAGCUCCAGGGGUUUCUGAGAUACGCUUAGUUAAAGUUUCCACAAUUUCAUAAAAACACAGUGUAUAGUCAUAUACUGAGGGAGAGUUAAUGUUAUGUCCUUAAACAACUUAAUAGGACCCGGGUAAGUCCUUAAACUACAACUUAACCAACGGUGGUAGGUCCCAUUCCCGCCGAAGUCCAGGCGAAAAACAGCCUUUCUGCGUUUCCGCAAAUAGCUCUAUCAUGCCAGACGGCGACUGGACAGGAGGAGGAGGAGGCAAUCUCUAAGUGAGUUCCUCAUUGUCCUGAUUAGUUCAAGUGAUCCAAGCAAUAAACGCAACCUUGACAACCAUUUUUCAGCCACCUCAUACCCUUCAACAACAUGAAACGAAAAAGAAAAAAGAAUACGAGUAGGUGUAAACACCAGCGGCACUUCCUGUCAUUGAAAGUGCACCUCACCAACGUACACUAUAUCGACCGGUUCUCCACCAUCUUGAAAUCGAAAAGCCGUACCUGGGCGUUCGGUGCCUGACUUUGGUGCUGAUUUUUAUUUACUACUUUUUUGAUAUAUCAGUCUAUUUACUAAAAUCUAGCCUAAAUAAAAAAAAUAUUGGUGGUGGAGGCCUCCGUUAGCACCUUAUAGUUUGUAAGAAAUCUGACAUUUUAAAAUCACCGAAAUUAUGUAUGGGCACUGUUAUCAAUUUGCGCCACCGAAUUAAUUUUUUUUACACAUUAUUCCAAAUUUUCAUCUUUAUAUAUAACUUAUUAUUCGAUUUAUUGAUAGGUGACCGGGUCCGCUUUGUGGAUUAUGGUUUACUUGGGCUCUGAGAACGCAUUGUAUGCCUGUGUCUACCGAUCGCACAGCGGAAACAAGGAAAGUGACCUUCUGUUGACAACCGACCCAAACAGGAACUCGGUUUCGGUCUCAGCUCCACUGGGAUCCGACCACUGUCCACUGUCUGGUGAAAUCUAUAUCGAUCUACUCUCCACGCUCUACAAAGCUCAAGUCCGAUCGUGUAUGUAGUAUUGCAGCCACCUGCGCGACGGCUCAGCUAAAUACCAACUCGCCGCUUUGGAUACAUUUCAGAGCCAGGAGCCAGGAGGAUGAUUUCUUAUGAGCUUUUCGGUUUCAAGAUGGUGGAGAACCGGAUCGAUGUAGUGCACGUUGGUGAGGUGCACUGUCAAUGAAGAAGUGCCGGUGGUGUUUACACUUACUCGUAUUCUUUUUUCUUUUUCGUUUCAUGUACUCGUAUGGGUUAUGGGUAACCCAGUGGUUUAACUGGUAAAACUACGCAGUAAGACUAGAGGGAAUAUAGCCUACCGAAGGAUGCCAUUUAAUGAGCAUUAGCGUGUCGGGACUAGUACUUUUACC
rnacentral:lncRNA from 1 species